UGGGGAAUUUUGGACAAUGGGCGAAAGCCUGAUCCAGCCAUGCCGCGUGAGUGAAGAAGGCCUUCGGGUUGUAAAGCUCUUUUAGUCGGAAAGAAAGAGUCGCAAUGAAUAAUUGUGAUUUAUGACGGUACCGACAGAAAAAGCACCGGCUAACUACGUGCCAGCAGCCGCGGUAAUACGUAGGGUGCGAGCGUUAAUCGGAAUUACUGGGCGUAAAGGGUGCGCAGGCGGUUUUGCAAGUCAGAUGUGAAAGCCCCGGGCUUAACCUGGGAAUUGCGUUUGAAACUACAAGGCUAGAGUGCAGCAGAGGGGAGUGGAAUUCCAUGUGUAGCAGUGAAAUGCGUAGAGAUGUGGAAGAACACCGAUGGCGAAGGCAGCUCCCUGGGUUGACACUUAGCGUCA
rnacentral:rRNA from 1 species